rnacentral:rRNA from 1 species
UACGUAGGGGGCAAGCGUUUGUCCGGAUUUAUUGGGCGUAAAGAGCGUGUAGGCGGCUAUACAGGUCCGCUGUGAAAACUCGAGGCUCAACCUCGAGACGUCGGUGGAAACCGUAUGGCUAGAGUCCGGAAGAGGAGAGUGGAAUUCCUGGUGUAGCGGUGAAAUGCGCAGAUAUCAGGAAGAACACCCGUGGCGAAGGCGGCUCUCUGGGGACGGUACUGACGCUGAGACGCGAAAGCGUGGGGGAGCGAACAGGG